UACAGAGGGUGCAAACGUUGCUCGGAAUCAUUGGGCGUAAAGCGCACGUAGGCGGCCUAGCAAGUAGGGAGUGAAAGCCCUCGGCUUAACCGAGGAAGUGCUUUCUAAACUACUAGGCUUGAAUACUGGAGAGGGUCGCGGAAUUCCCGGUGUAGAGGUGAAAUUCGUAGAUAUCGGGAGGAACACCAGUGGCGAAGGCGGCGACCUGGACAGGAUAUUGACGCUGAGGUGCGAAAGCGUGGGGAGCAACAGG
rnacentral:rRNA from 1 species